rnacentral:rRNA from 1 species
AAAUUGAAGAGUUUGAUCAUGGCUCAGAUUGAACGCUGGCGGCAGGCCUAACACAUGCAAGUCGAACGGUAACAGGAAGAAGCUUGCUUCUUUGCUGACGAGUGGCGAACGGGUGAGUAAUGUCUGGGAAACUGCCUGAUGGAGGGGGAUAACUACUGGAAACGGUAGCUAAUACCGCAUAACGUCGC